GGUCCAAUAGCUUAGGUGGUAGAGCGCGCACCUGAUAAGUGCGAGGUCGUUGGUUCGAAUCCAACUUGGGCCA
rnacentral:tRNA from 1 species